AACGAACGCUGGCGGCGUGCCUAACACAUGCAAGUCGAGCGGGAAAGUUCCCUUCGGGGAGCGAGUACAGCGGCGAACGGGUGAGUAACACGUAGGUAACCUACCCUGGAGAUCGGGAUAACCUGCCGAAAGGCGGGCUAAUACCGGAUAAGACCACGAGGGCUGCGGCCCUUGAGGAAAAAGAUGGCCUCUGCUUGCAAGCUAUCACUCG
rnacentral:rRNA from 1 species